rnacentral:rRNA from 1 species
UACGUAGGGGGCAAGCGUUGUCCGGAUUUAUUGGGCGUAAAGAGCGUGUAGGCGGCCAGGUAGGUCUGCUGUGAAAACUCGAGGCUUAACCUCGAGCUGUCGGCGGAAACCAUCUGGCUAGAGUCCGGAAGAGGAGAAUGGAAUUCCCGGUGUAGCGGUGAAAUGCGUAGAUAUCUGGAGGAACACCGGUGGCGAAGGCGGCAUCCUGGACCGGCACUGACGCUGAUGAGCGAAAGCCAGGGGAGCAAACGGG